rnacentral:lncRNA from 1 species
CCAGUGUCAAAAUUCCCUGUUGGACGAAGAGGUUAGUACUUGUUAGUGUGUGAACAAAUUCCCUGCACUGUUGUUUAGCACUGAGCUUGAUUACGGUACUAUCUGUAUCUAGUUACAUUGAAUUUGUAAAUGUAGACGCGUCAUAUUGGACCAGAUUUCACUGCUGAACAUCUGUUUUUGUCAGCUGCAGAAUUAGAGUUGGGGUUGGUUCCGCCAGACAGGGCCCCUUGUCCGAGCAGAGCAGGCACCCUGGAGAAAUCAACAGGGGGAUUCGCAGAGAAGAGAGAACCCGAAAGAAAAUGUCAUCAGACCUGCUCUUGGGAGAAUUAUUUUGGAAUCAGAUACGGGAAAAGGAGGCUGAAUGUCACAGAUGACAAAAUGCAUGCAGAAAGUAGUGUGUGUUUGCGGUGAGGAUGUCAACAAGUAUAUGCAACAAAACUGAUCUAGGGGGUAGUUCUCUGAUGGUGCAUUUUGGUACGUUGGUUUUUUCAGGGGAAGCUGGGUGACCAGAACACACGCUCAUGCUGGACAUACUGUGAUUUCGUUUUCCAGUGAUUUCGUGGACAAGUUAGAAAGAUAAGGAUAUGCGUCCAUGCUGAACAUAUUUUUAGAACUUUUUGCCUGAUGGUUGGUAGUUGGCUGACUUAAAUAUAUGUUCUGUGAACAAGGAUGCUUUUGCAGAUUCAAAUUCAUGUAUGCCAGAACUAACGAUUGAACGGGCUGUGCAGGUUUGGACCUUACAUGUGUCAUCUGCGAUUCAAAAUUUAAAAUUUGAAUGCAUGUAUGACCCUAUUUGAAUUCCUGGGAGAGAAACCUGGGUAGGAUAUGAGCUUCGGUGAAGUGUGGCAGACAUAGUUAGCAAGCUAGCAUGAAUCAAAGGGAAAUGGACUGUUGUGUUUUCUUACUUUUGGAGAUGUACUGGCUUUGCAGCCAAGCACCUCUUCACAGUAAUACGAGUAGACCAUGCUCGAUUUGCAUGAACAAUGGCCUGCCAGAGAUAUGAGAUGUAAUUUAUUUAUUUUUGAAACAAGGCAAAAGAUUUGCCAUUUCAUUGAUUAAGAAGAAGGUUUAGACAGGCCACGAAG